AGCUUGCUCCCUGAGGUUAGCGGCGGACGGGUGAGUAACACGUGGGCAACCUGCCUGUAAGACUGGGAUAACUCCGGGAAACCGGGGCUAAUACCGGAUAAUUCAUUUCCUCUCAUGAGGAAAUGCUGAAAGACGGUUUCGGCUGUCACUUACAGAUGGGCCCGCGGCGCAUUAGCUAGUUGGUGAGGUAACGGCUCACCAAGGCCACGAUGCGUAGCCGACCUGAGAGGGUGAUCGGCCACACUGGGACUGAGACACGGCCCAGACUCCUACGGGAGGCAGCAGUAGGGAAUCUUCCGCAAUGGACGAAAGUCUGACGGAGCAACGCCGCGUGAGCGAARAAGGCCUUCGGGUCGUAAAGCUCUGUUGUUAGGGAAGAACAAGUAUCGGAGUAACUGCCGGUACCUUGACGGUACCUAACCAGAAAGCCACGGCUAACUACGUGCCAGCAGCCGCGGUAAUACGUAGGUGGCAAGCGUUGUCCGGAAUUAUUGGGCGUAAAGCGCGCGCAGGCGGUCCUUUAAGUCUGAUGUGAAAGCCCACGGCUCAMCCGUGGAGGGUCAUUGGAAACUGGGGGACUUGAGUGCAGAAGAGGAGAGUGGAAUUCCACGUGUAGCGGUGAAAUGCGUAGAGAUGUGGAGGAACACCAGUGGCGAAGGCGACUCUCUGGUCUGUAACUGACGCUGAGGCGCGAAAGCGUGGGGAGCGAACAGGAUUAGAUACCCCUGGUAGUCCACGCCGUAAACGAUGAGUGCUAAGUGUUAGAGGGUUUCCGCCCUUUAGUGCUGCAGCAAACGCAUUAAGCACUCCGCCUGGGGAGUACGGCCGCAAGGCUGAACUCAAGGAAUUGACGGGGGCCCGCACAAGCG
rnacentral:rRNA from 1 species